UACGUAGGAUGCGAGCGUUGUCCGGAAUUAUUGGGCGUAAAGAGAACGUAGGCGGUUUCUUAAGUUUGGUCUUAAAGACCGGGGCUCAACCCCGGGAAUGGAUCGAAUACUGGGAGACUGGAGGAUGUCAGAGGAAAGUGGAAUUCCAAGUGUAGCGGUGAAAUGCGUAGAUAUUUGGAGGAACACCGGUGGCGAAAGCGACUUUCUGGGGCAUUCCUGACGCUGAGGUUCGAAAGCUCGGGGAGCAAACAGG
rnacentral:rRNA from 1 species